rnacentral:rRNA from 1 species
CGCGGUAAUACGGGGGGUGCAAGCGUUACUCGGAAUCACUGGGCGUAAAGAGCAUGUAGGCGGAUUAAUAAGUUUGAAGUGAAAUCCUAUAGCUUAACUAUAGAACUGCUUUGAAAACUGUUAAUCUAGAAUGUGGGAGAGGUAGAUGGAAUUUCUGGUGUAGGGGUAAAAUCCGUAGAGAUCAGAAGGAAUACCGAUUGCGAAGGCGAUCUACUGGAACAUUAUUGACGCUGAGAUGCGAAAGCGUGGGGAGCAAACAGGAUUAGAUACCCUGGUAGUCCACGCCCUAAACGAUGUACACUAGUUGUUGUGAGACUUGAUCUUGCAGUAAUGCAGUUAACACAUUAAGUGUACCGCCUGGGGAGUACGGUCGCAAGAUUAAAACUCAAAGGAAUAGACGGGGACCCGCACAAGCGGUGGAGCAUGUGGUUUAAUUCGACGAUACACGAAGAACCUUACCUGGACUUGACAUAGUAAGAACUUUCUAGAGAUAGAUUGGUGUCUGCUUGCAGAAACUUAUAUACAGGUGCUGCACGGCUGUCGUCAGCUCGUGUCGUGAGAUGUUGGGUUAAGUCCCGCAACGAGCGCAACCCUCGUGUUUAGUUGCUAACAGUUCGGCUGA